rnacentral:lncRNA from 1 species
CAGAUACAGUCAAUUUUUUAUGUAUGUUGAAGCAGUUGGACUUUCCUACAUGUAAGACUCUGAACUCUUUCCCUAAUUUCUUAUUAGGGAAAAUUAUUAUUAUUUCCCUUAUUCUUAUAAGACCAAUGCAAGCCUGUAAAAACUCCACUAUUUUACCGAUAUCUUAAGAUAAGUGAAUGAGCUUUAUUACUAGCAUUAAGCAUGAAAUCUAGAAAAGAAGAAAUACAGAGGUACAUUUGUUGCUAGGCAAUUUAUCUCACCGAAUGCAUAUUUCCUCUUUCUUGAGGUUUAAAUCUGAGUACAUACUAACUUAGGCCCAAUCUUUUUCUACUCUCUUUGAAGCAUUUCACAUUAGGUGUACAGUUGCUCCUCUUCCAGCCUUUGAGACCGCAUCUAAAUGAUGAAGCCACCAGUGGGUUGUGGCAUGUCCUACGUACUGAUCCAGGAGCAUGUUGGCUGGGAACAAGGUUGUUACUCUGUGCUGGUAGACCAAAUUUUGUUCCUGUGGAAAUUAAAGCAUGGGAAGGCAGCUUGGUGGGGGGGAAGGGGGCAUGGCUUGGAAACAGGGAAGAAGAUAUUCAUUUCCUAAUAUCACUAUGGACCUAAAGACAGAUACCAGUUGCUGUUCUGUUGAGAUGGUAACCUGUGAAAAAGGUUGUGGAGGUACUUCACUAUGCUUUUUCAUGUAGGUACUUUCAGUUAAGUGCUCACAGAUAGGGGGAAUUUCUCUGGGUCUUUGGAAUUAUGAAGGCUCCUACGUGGAAUAUCCUGACAGCUGCCAUGCAAACAAACAACCUUUACAAAUCCAUGCCAGUUUUUUUCUGACACACAACACCUGGCUCCUUUUCUGUAGUGAGAAUGGUUGGACCACUGCAGUGGCACACUGAUUUUUGUGGAUCGUGAAUACAAAAGGGGAUUCAGAAGACACCAUCCGAGUUAUUCUGGCUCAUGACUUGAGUGCUUUCUAUUCUUAGACAAAUGAGGAUCUGAAAUAUGCCCUGUUUUCUGCCUUUGUGGAGCCCUUCUCGCAGUGCCUGUAGCAGCAGUUGGGGAAUCAUCCAUCACUGCAGUCGCAGCUUUGCUCCCGCAAGGCACAGCAUCGAGGAGCUGAUUAGAGCUGGAGGGCCCCAGUCAGGUUUGUGUUGCUGCCAGCUCUUCCUGGGAAUUGCUACUGUGCAGAUUUUACAGAUAC